AUGGGAAGAACCGGUGCCCAGGGUCGUUCUUGGGUCCUUCCACUAUUCAUCUGUUUUGCAUGUGCAUCAUCUGAGGACCUUCAGCUGUGUUCACCCCAAACCUUUUCCUUCAGCUGCAAGAGGCGGGCCUCAGCUCCUGAGGCCUCCACGAAGCCUCUGAAGAUCCUCAGGCUGCUGGGUGGCACGCUGGACCCAGGGGAUCCCAGGAGGAAACCAAGGCUUGGUGAGGUGACCCGGCUCACUGGAAAUCCGUGCUUUCACUGUCUGCGUAGCUGCCAUCCCUAACCUGGGUCCUGACAUUAGUGGCUACACCUGCAAGAAUCCAGAGAAAUGGUGAGAUCCGUGACUAGCCCUGGACUCUGGCCCCCGGGUCCUCACCUGUCAGCUCGGCAGCUCCUCAAAGGCUCUGGCAGCUCAGAGGGGCAAGAUCCUGCUCGCUUCCUUUGGCUGGACCCGGCUAACACGCUUGAUCUCAGGUGUAUACUAGUGGGGUGGGAGCAAGGGGCCUGGUGGCAGACUGACUCAGACCCUCUCAGGAACAAGACACCAAGGCCCACAUGAAGGAGAAAAGGUCAUAGAAGCACGGGGGAGGUGUGGUCAGUGAGAUGUUAAAAGCCAGACGUGCUACAGAUGAGCUCUGGAUGAUGACCCGGAGGGAUGUCGGUGUCCAUUAGCAGAUGUGGUUGUGCACGGCCUUGGAACCGAUUCCCCAUUAGGCUGAGAGCCUGCCCCGCCCUCCCAGUUUCUUGCUGGGGGCAGGGGAAUUGCUUCAGCAAAUCAGGUCACACUGCCCAGAGCCAUGGGCCACGCUGCCUCAGUCCGCCCUGCACAGACGAGUCUCACCGAUAAGUGGACCCUCCCCUGUUUACAGUCUGCUCCAGCGUCCACCCUCCCGUUAUGGGCCUGACUUCUCCAGGGGUAGGAAAGGAAAUCUGAGGAUCCCCCCCCACCCUCCGCCCCGGCAUGGUUCACUUAGGCACGAGGCGCCCUGGCCUCAUCCUGGUGCUGUGGGCUGGGGGCAGCAAGUGCCUGUCCUCUGACCUGCGCCAUGCUGUCCCUUUGCCUUUUGAAAAGGAAGGUUCCUCUACUUUUGCAUUGUCCCUCCGAGAGGAGACCAUUAUCUUUCCAGGGCAUUCUUGUCUCCCAGCUUCAGAGCUGCACAUAGCCAGUGGGAUGGGGAUGAGGGGGCAGUGGCAGAGGCUGCGGGUGGGCAACAUGCCUUCUCUCUGUGCCUGAGAAAUCUCUCUAGUUAUUUAUUGCUCGCGGCCCAGGCAAGUGUUUUCCCCCACUCUGGAAGUACCUAAUUGCCACCCCCUGCUCACGGGGCUGGAGCAUUUGUCCCCGCACAAAGGAAAGGUCAAGAAGCUGCUGAAUUGCAUUUUCCUCUCCCCUUGCCACGUGUCUCCGAAGAUGAGUCAUCCUCUGCUUUCCUGCGUCCCUCCCUCCCUCCCCCACCCAGUCAUUGGAUCUGGGGCAAUCGCUGCCGCUGCCGGCCUGGCUGCUCAGGCCUCCCUGCAAGGGGUGGGCUCCCAGGCUCCUCGGCAGGGCCCACAGGCCCCGUCCUGGCCUGUGGGCCUUGGGGCUCAGCCUCCUUCAUUUAACUUCCAGAAAUAUCUAUUGAGCAGCUCUUAUGUGUCAGGCGUUGGGCACACAGGAGACCAGGGGCAUGAUUCCUGCACUUGCAGGGCCUAGAGUGCAGGAGGAACAGGAAACAUGAAAUCAUACCAUGUACACGUAAUCCUGUGUAGUUAUCACUGAGAUGUGUGUCAUAAAGAAAAAACUACAGGGAGUUUUGAGGAGCACCACAUAUAAGUGGGGUGGGGUAUGGUUAGGAGGCCCCCCGAGAAAUGAAUAUUAAGAUGACAUCUGAAGAACAGAAGAGCAGGGAAAGCAUUCCAGGGAGAGGAACCAGCACAUGCAAAGGACCUGUGGUCAAAAGAAGCUUGACACUUUAAAGAAACAACAAGAAAGAGUGUGGUUGACAUGCAGUAAGCAAGGUGAAAGAGAGGGAAGAUGAGGCUGAAAAGAAAGAAGGGGCCAGGCCCUUGAAGUUCAGGCUAGAGAGUUUAAAAAUUUAUCCUAAGGGUCAGCUUGGCAGUUUCUUAAAAUGUUAAACAUGUACUUAUUAUAUCCAGCAGUUCUACUCCAAUUUCUGUAUUUACCCGAAAGAAAUAAAAAUAUAUGUACACAAAAAGACA
rnacentral:lncRNA from 1 species